rnacentral:rRNA from 1 species
UACAGAGGGUGCAAGCGUUAAUCGGAUUUACUGGGCGUAAAGCGUGUGUAGGUGGUUACUCAAGUCGGUUGUGAAAUCCCCGGGCUCAACCUGGGAAUUGCUUCCGAGACUGAGUGACUAGAGUACGGUAGAGGGCGGUGGAAUUUCCGGUGUAGCGGUGAAAUGCGUAGAUAUCGGAAGGAACACCAAUGGCGAAGGCAGCCGCCUGGGCCUGUACUGACACUGAGACACGAAAGCUAGGGGAGCGAAUGGG